rnacentral:rRNA from 1 species
GGAUUAGAUACCCUGGUAGUCCCAGCUGUAAACGAUGGAUACUAGACGUAGGAACUGGAUUGACGGUUUCUGUGUCGCAGCUAACGCGUUAAGUAUCCCGCCUGGGGAGUACGGUCGCAAGACUAAAACUCAAAGGAAUUGACGGGGACCCGCACAAGCGGUGGAACAUGUGGUUUAAUUCGAUGAUACGCGAAGAACCUUACCUGGGUUUGACAUGUUAGUGAAAGUUUUCUGAAAAGAAUUCCCUUUAGGAGCUUGCUCUUAAACACUAUCACAGGUGGUGCAUGGCCGUCGUCAGCUCGUGCCG